UACGUAGGGUGCAAGCGUUGUCCGGAAUUAUUGGGCGUAAAGAGCUCGUAGGCGGUCUGUCGCGUCGGCUGUGAAAACUCGGGGCUCAACCCCGAGCCUGCAGUCGAUACGGGCAGACUAGAGUGCUGUAGGGGAGACUGGAAUUCCUGGUGUAGCGGUGAAAUGCGCAGAUAUCAGGAGGAACACCGGUGGCGAAGGCGGGUCACUGGCUCGUUUCUGACGCUCAGGCGCGACAGCGUGGGGAUCAAACAGG
rnacentral:rRNA from 1 species